GGUUAAGCGACUAAGCGUACACGGUGGAUGCCCUGGCAGUCAGAGGCGAUGAAGGACGUGCUAAUCUGCGAUAAGCGUCGGUAAGGUGAUAUGAACCGUUAUAACCGGCGAUUUCCGAAUGGGGAAACCCAGUGUGUUUCGACACACUAUCAUUAACUGAAUCCAUAGGUUAAUGAGGCGAACCGGGGGAACUGAAACAUCUAAGUACCCCGAGGAAAAGAAAUCAACCGAGAUUCCCCCAGUAGCGGCGAGCGAACGGGGAGCAGCCCAGAGCCUGAAUCAGUGUGUGUGUUAGUGGAAGCGUCUGGAAAGGCGCGCGAUACAGGGUGACAGCCCCGUACACAAAAAUGCACAUGCUGUGAGCUCGAUGAGUAGGGCGGGACACGUGGUAUCCUGUCUGAAUAUGGGGGGACCAUCCUCCAAGGCUAAAUACUCCUGACUGACCGAUAGUGAACCAGUACCGUGAGGGAAAGGCGAAAAGAACCCCGGCGAGGGGAGUGAAAAAGAACCUGAAACCGUGUACGUACAAGCAGUGGGAGCACGCUUAGGCGUGUGACUGCGUACCUUUUGUAUAAUGGGUCAGCGACUUAUAUUCUGUAGCAAGGUUAACCGAAUAGGGGAGCCGAAGGGAAACCGAGUCUUAACUGGGCGUUAAGUUGCAGGGUAUAGACCCGAAACCCGGUGAUCUAGCCAUGGGCAGGUUGAAGGUUGGGUAACACUAACUGGAGGACCGAACCGACUAAUGUUGAAAAAUUAGCGGAUGACUUGUGGCUGGGGGUGAAAGGCCAAUCAAACCGGGAGAUAGCUGGUUCUCCCCGAAAGCUAUUUAGGUAGCGCCUCGUGAAUUCAUCUCCGGGGGUAGAGCACUGUUUCGGCAAGGGGGUCAUCCCGACUUACCAACCCGAUGCAAACUGCGAAUACCGGAGAAUGUUAUCACGGGAGACACACGGCGGGUGCUAACGUCCGUCGUGAAGAGGGAAACAACCCAGACCGCCAGCUAAGGUCCCAAAGUCAUGGUUAAGUGGGAAACGAUGUGGGAAGGCCCAGACAGCCAGGAUGUUGGCUUAGAAGCAGCCAUCAUUUAAAGAAAGCGUAAUAGCUCACUGGUCGAGUCGGCCUGCGCGGAAGAUGUAACGGGGCUAAACCAUGCACCGAAGCUGCGGCAGCGACGCUUAUGCGUUGUUGGGUAGGGGAGCGUUCUGUAAGCCUGUGAAGGUGUGCUGUGAGGCAUGCUGGAGGUAUCAGAAGUGCGAAUGCUGACAUAAGUAACGAUAAAGCGGGUGAAAAGCCCGCUCGCCGGAAGACCAAGGGUUCCUGUCCAACGUUAAUCGGGGCAGGGUGAGUCGACCCCUAAGGCGAGGCCGAAAGGCGUAGUCGAUGGGAAACAGGUUAAUAUUCCUGUACUUGGUGUUACUGCGAAGGGGGGACGGAGAAGGCUAUGUUGGCCGGGCGACGGUUGUCCCGGUUUAAGCGUGUAGGCUGGUUUUCCAGGCAAAUCCGGAAAAUCAAGGCUGAGGCGUGAUGACGAGGCANNNNNNNNNNNNNNNNNNNNNNNNNNNNNNNNNNNNNNNNNNNNNNNNNNNNNNNNNNNNNNNNNNNNNNNNNNNNNNNNNNNNNNNNNNNNNNNGGCACUACGGUGCUGAAGCAACAAAUGCCCUGCUUCCAGGAAAAGCCUCUAAGCAUCAGGUAACAUCAAAUCGUACCCCAAACCGACACAGGUGGUCAGGUAGAGAAUACCAAGGCGCUUGAGAGAACUCGGGUGAAGGAACUAGGCAAAAUGGUGCCGUAACUUCGGGAGAAGGCACGCUGAUAUGUAGGUGAAGUCCCUCGCGGAUGGAGCUGAAAUCAGUCGAAGAUACCAGCUGGCUGCAACUGUUUAUUAAAAACACAGCACUGUGCAAACACGAAAGUGGACGUAUACGGUGUGACGCCUGCCCGGUGCCGGAAGGUUAAUUGAUGGGGUCAGCGCAAGCGAAGCUCUUGAUCGAAGCCCCGGUAAACGGCGGCCGUAACUAUAACGGUCCUAAGGUAGCGAAAUUCCUUGUCGGGUAAGUUCCGACCUGCACGAAUGGCGUAAUGAUGGCCAGGCUGUCUCCACCCGAGACUCAGUGAAAUUGAACUCGCUGUGAAGAUGCAGUGUACCCGCGGCAAGACGGAAAGACCCCGUGAACCUUUACUAUAGCUUGACACUGAACAUUGAGCCUUGAUGUGUAGGAUAGGUGGGAGGCUUUGAAGUGUGGACGCCAGUCUGCAUGGAGCCGACCUUGAAAUACCACCCUUUAAUGUUUGAUGUUCUAACGUUGACCCGUGAUCCGGGUUGCGGACAGUGUCUGGUGGGUAGUUUGACUGGGGCGGUCUCCUCCUAAAGAGUAACGGAGGAGCACGAAGGUUGGCUAAUCCUGGUCGGACAUCAGGAGGUUAGUGCAAUGGCAUAAGCCAGCUUGACUGCGAGCGUGACGGCGCGAGCAGGUGCGAAAGCAGGUCAUAGUGAUCCGGUGGUUCUGAAUGGAAGGGCCAUCGCUCAACGGAUAAAAGGUACUCCGGGGAUAACAGGCUGAUACCGCCCAAGAGUUCAUAUCGACGGCGGUGUUUGGCACCUCGAUGUCGGCUCAUCACAUCCUGGGGCUGAAGUAGGUCCCAAGGGUAUGGCUGUUCGCCAUUUAAAGUGGUACGCGAGCUGGGUUUAGAACGUCGUGAGACAGUUCGGUCCCUAUCUGCCGUGGGCGCUGGAGAACUGAGGGGGGCUGCUCCUAGUACGAGAGGACCGGAGUGGACGCAUCACUGGUGUUCGGGUUGUCAUGCCAAUGGCACUGCCCGGUAGCUAAAUGCGGAAGAGAUAAGUGCUGAAAGCAUCUAAGCACGAAACUUGCCCCGAGAUGAGUUCUCCCUGACCCUUUAAGGGUCCUGAAGGAACGUUGAAGACGACGACGUUGAUAGGCCGGGUGUGUAAGCGCAGCGAUGCGUUGAGCUAACCGGUACUAAUGAACCGUGAGGCUUAACCUU
rnacentral:rRNA from 1 species